GUGAAAUCUAGGUUUGUCAUAGAACAAUUAUUAUUUCUCAAAGAUUUCUCUCAUUGCAAUCAAGGUUAAGGCUCCACAUCCGAGACCAAGGUAACUAAAAGUUUAGAAAGCCGGUGGCGAGUGGAACUUUGGAUGCUUGUGUGUGUGAACUCGCUGAGGGCCAUAUAACUGCGGGCGGUCUAGGGCGCUCUAUUUAUUUAUUCAUGUUAUUAAACUUAUGUCGCAAUUAUUUUAGUUAUUAAUUAUUAUGUCUUUUGUACGAAAACUGGCCAGUUGUGAACAUUUUCAAGUAUUAAAUAAAAAUGCGACAUUAUGAUUUUCCGCGUUUAACGCUUGUAAACAAAAUUAAUAUUUUUAUAAAAGUACGGGCGUUACAU